rnacentral:lncRNA from 1 species
AGGUUACAAGGAGCACUCACGAAGCGCCAUCAGUAAGCCCGUCUGGAACAGGAGGCACCGAGCAUUCCAGGCCUGGCAAAGUCACAAAGAGCACUGCUUCAGUGCCAUCAGGAAGCAUGCCUAGCACGGAAUCCAGUGAGGGCACGAAACCAGGCGGGGUUACAAAGGGCACUCCAGGAUCGCCAUCAGGAAGCACGGUAAGUGGUCGAC